GGGAUACAUCCGAGGUGAGGAUUUACACAUUUACUCCGGUGUAUACCUGUGUCAAGGCGGACACCAGCCUUGACACAGGUGUACACACAGACGACACAGACGUUCUCUUUCAUUUUUCUCGGCGGAUGUCCGUAUGGGUUGAUGUACAAACUUUCUGAAGUUCGCUUGGUAAGUCACUGGAUUUGGCGGUACGUCCAACCAGCCUCACAACCGCAGACUACGUGUAACCACACCAACCUAGGACCUCCACAUCCAGCUUCUUCACCUGCGGGAUCGUCUGAGACCAGCUCCCUGGACAGCUGAUGAAACUGGUCUUGACCUGACUGCAGUUCGCCGUCCUAACUGACUUCAGUGAGCAAAUGCUCACCUUCGAUGGCCACUGGGACGCUGGAGAAGUGUGCUCUUCAGGGAUGAUUCCCGGUUUCAGCUGGGCAGAUGGCAGACAGCGUGUAUGGCGUCGUGUGGGCGAGUGAUUUGCUGAUCUUGUUGUGAACAGAGUGCCCCAUGGUGCCGGUGGGGUUAUGGUAUGGGCAGGCAUAAGCCACGGACCAUGAAAAACAAUUGCAUUUUAUCAAUGGCAAUUUGAAUGCACAGAGGUGCUGUGAAAAGAUCCUGAGGCCCAUUGCCCUGUUAUUCAUCCGCCUACAUCACUUUGUUUCAACAUGAUAAUGCACGGACCCAUUUCGCAAGGAUCUGUACACAAUUCCUGGAAGCUGUAAAUGUCCCAGUUAUUCUAUGGCCUGCAUAUUCACCAGACAUAUCACCCAUUUUGAAAAUGUUUGUGAUGCUCUGGAUCAAUGUGUAUGACAGCGUGUUCCAGAUCCUGCCAACAUCCAGCAACUUCGCACAGCCAUUGAAGAGGAGUGGGACAACAUUCCACAGGCCACAAUCAACAGCCUGAACAACUAUAUGCGAAGGAGAUGUCGCCCUGCAUGAGGCAAAUGCUGGUCACACCAGAUACUGACUGGUUUUCUGAUCCACACCCAAUACCUAUUUAUUUAAGGUAUCUGUGACCAACAGAUGCAUAUCUGUAUUCCCAGUCAUGUGAAAUCCAUAGAUGAGGGCCUAAUGAAUUUAUUUCAAUUGACUGAUUUCCUUAUAUGAACUGUAACUCAGUAACAUCUUUUAAACUGUUCCAUGUUGCAUUUUAUAUUUUUGUUCAGUGUAGUUUAGUUGCCUCCCUCUCUGGUUUAUUUACAUCACGCCAGUUUUAAGCAACAAUUGUGAGUUAUGGUAGGCAACCUAUAACGUACAGAUGAUUUCUAUGUUCAGAUCUUAAAUGUAAUGUGGUAUUUGUAGUAAACACAGACAGCAAAUGGCAGUUUAUUGAAUCAGACUUGAUCUCUUCCAAUCAGGAGCAUAGGCGCUAGAGCUGCUCUGAGUGUUGCUGAACAACAGAUCUGUGGUGGCAGAUCGUACCACACGUCAAUGAAUCCUACAUAUUACAGCUUCAUAGAUAAUAUCUCCCUCCCAAAUGGCACCCUAGUCCUUCUAUAGUGCACUACUUUUUACUGGGACCCUAUGGUUCCUUUGACUGGGGCCUAAAGUAGUGCACUAUAUAGGGAAUAGGGUGCCAUUUGGGAUGAAGCACAUGUGUGUGAUAAGAAUUCCUUGGAUGGAUGCCUGGUUUGUGCCAAUGUAAACUGUUAUUAUGCAAGCACAGAGCCCUCUAAGAAAAAACAACUUCUACUCCUUUUGUGUGUUUAGGAAAGAGACCUGGGCAUCAUCAGUCAGUGUCAGUCUGUUGGGGAGGUUUGGGGCCAUGGCAGGGUUGAGUGUCAUUCAACUACCAGACACUGCACUAAACCCACAUGUUUUAUGAGGGAUCUCAGACUCAACUGGGUGUUAAUUUCUCUGUCCUGUCCUAGCCUGGUAUAUCAAAAUGUAUUGUCCAAUCAAUUCCAUGUACAGUACUGUCUGUCAUCCAUUGUGAAUCAGUCGGGAGUUUGUGCUACAUCUCAACGUGCCCUGUGUGUGUUACGUCUCAACUUGCCCUAUGUGGGAGACAGUUGGGGCAUGAUGACGACGCUACAAUACAUGUUCAGGGAAGCAUGGUACUCCUGUCCUCCUCUGCUGUCUUGUCUGUCUCUAAAACAACAGCCUAUACCCCUGUAUCUCCUGUACUGUAGCCUACACAGCAGGGGUUAUUGUCACCAUUCUAUGAAGCUUGUUUAUAACCUUGUGUCAAACAGUGCCACCCAAUUAUUGUUAAAGGCCUUUGAGCGAGGCAGAGCUUUCAGACAGUUUAUAAAGUGAGACAGGCAGUGAUGACUGAACCUAUCCAGCUGUCACCCCACCUUUUUUGGCUGCUUCUGAAAUGCCACCCUAUUCCGUAUGUAGUGAACUACUUUUGACCAGAGCCCUAGGAAACCUCCCCUUUUCUUUUCUUGUCUCGGGAGCAGUCCGACUCAGGAUGGGUAUGGGAGAGUGGCUGUCUCUGACCUCUGACAUCUAUAGGGUCGCAAAGUUCCAGCAACUUUCCCAAAAUUCCAAAGUUUUCCAGUAAUUGUGGUUUUAGGAUUUUCCUUUCUGAUUUUGGGAAUCUACCAAUCAUGAUUUCUGGAAAACCUGGGAACUUUUUGGAAAGUUCAUGGAAUUUUGUGACCCUACCAGGACCUCUGGGAUUGACAGAGCCUAAAUCCUGAGACGAGUAAUACAAGUUCUUAUUUACAAUGACGGGCUACCCCGGCCAAAACCUAACCAGGACAACGCUGGACCAGUUGUGCACCGCCCUAUGGGACUCCCAAUCACGGCCGGUUGUGAUACAGCCUGUAAUCGAACCAAGGUCUGUAGUGCCACAUUUAGCACUGAGAUGCAGUACCUUUGACCGCUGUGCCACUCAGGAGCCCAAAAUAAUGAAUGGAGAGGGGCAUCUGAUUAAGUCAGCACUCCUACUCUGAGAUACUGUGAAUACGGGCCCUGCUAAACAAUAGGACUCAGUCUCAUUACUCACCAUUCACAAUAUCCUUUUUAAUGUAAGAAUGUACCAAUAUUCAAACCUCCUCCUUUCCUGUUGACCUUUAACUGAGCAGCAGAUAGGACCACACUGUUGACCCCCAGCUGACCUGCCAGGGGUUCCGUCCUGUGUGGUGAGGGAGAUGAGAGGUGGCCUGACCUUUGACCUUUCCAGGGAGAGAGCUGAACGGUGUCGGAUCUCCUCUCCCACAAUGCACCGCAAUCGCUGCUCACUGUGUUUUUCAUCUGGUUUCAGGUCCUGAAUUAGGUCAGUUACCAAUGUUUUACCUUCUGACAUUGGCUGAUUGGCACCAGAGAAGGUAUGUAUGUAUGUAUGUAUGUAUGUAAACAACAGCGUUUUGGUGAAAAGACGAUACUUAAAUUUGGAUGCAAAAUGGAGGACAAAAAGUAAAUGGCAGGGCUGCGGACAGCUUGCAGGUAGCCCUACAUCAGCCCUGGGUUCAUAGACUAUUCGUGUUUUUUCAAACACUUUGAGCCUAUACUGGCAGUGAGUGUUCGAUGAGAAAGGUUUACACUUCUGGGACUAUACCAUUGGUUCCAUUGAGCCAGAGAAGCACUUUGAAAGAAAAACAAAUACUACCUGAACCCAGGUCCAUCUACAAUGUUGUUACUACAGUUAUUACUGUGCAGGUACAUGGGCAUGAGGGCAACUUGAAGGUAAAGUGAGUUGGGUCUUGAUCCAAGCUCUGUUGAUUGUUCCUCAGACUGACUUUCAUUGGCCCUGCAGGGGCAUUGGGCUGAGGUGUUACAUUUACAGUUUGUUUCAAGUCAAAAGCAAAGCUUGAAAGUGACUGACUGCCUCCUCGGCUUACGGGGAUUAACCUACUCCGGUGGUGUUUUGAAACGGCUCAGGAUUGUUUUACCAUUUAACUUCAAAUCUCUCCUGUCACAACUCACACAAUGAUAGUUCACCACCUGUGUCCCCCUUCAGUGUUGUGGACAAACUAAUCAUGGAGUUGUGGACAGACGGGACUGGGGUACAGUAGUACAUCACAGUGGAGUUGACAUGAGCAAAACUAUGAAUAAUCGCAUGAGAUAUUGGGGCCCUGGUAAAAAAAAAACAGUAGUGCACUAGAUACACUGUAAACUCAUGGAAUUUUUACCUGAAAUACUUCUAGUAAGUUGUACUCAAUAUCAAUGACUACUCAUUAUUACUUAAUAUCGAUGUGGUACUGACUCAACUAAAUGAGAAGUCACACCAACUAAAUAUUUGUAAGAUAUAUGAUAACAAAUGGAGAAAAAAAAUGUAAUAUGUGUGUUUGAAUGUACAUUCAGUGAUUGUGUGUUUGAAUGUACAUUCAGUGAUUGUGUGUUUGAAUGUACAUUCAGUGAUUGUGUGUUUGAAUGUACAUUCAGUGAUUGUGUGUUUGAAUGUACAUUCAGUGAUUGUGUGUUUGAAUGUACAUUCAGUGAUUGUGUGUUUGAAUGUACAUUCAGUGAUUGUGUGUUUGAAUGUACAUUCAGUGAUUGUGUAUCUUAACAUUUAAUAAAUCAAAGAUAAAUAAUUGUUUUCUAAACUAGUCCAAUCAUUGGAUUUUUGCACCCCUUACUGAAAUUGUUCCAGUUUUAAAUGGCUUAGGUUUCCUCCCACUGUUCUUAACCCUGGCAAGUCAUUAUGAAUGUAGGUUACAAGUGGAUACAUAUUUCAACUGUUGGAUCGCCUAAUGCUGACUAGAUUUCAAUAGGAAUUACACCUCACUUUGCAAGACACAGUAUAAUGUGCUUUACAGUAAGGGAUGCAAAAUUCUGAUGAAUUUCCCAGGUUUUCCAAAAAUCCUGGUUGGAAGAUUACUGGAAAAAUGUAGGGAAUUUUACAACCCUACUUGCAGGCCUGAUGUGGCCUGUAAAACUGAGUUUCAGGCCACUGUAUUAGGCCUUUUGAUAGAUGUAAUGGUUCAAUUAUAAUGUUCCCUUAAGAACACACUUGGUGAAUGCCCCCGGACUGAAAUUGAACGAAUUCUACAACGACGUCUCUGUCACUAACAAAUACAGUCAUGGGUGGUAACUACAAUUCAAUCGAAAAGGCGAGGCACACUGAGAAAUUCUUGGAGGCGUGGCUUAAUGGUGCCGUUAAAUUUAAGUAUACUUUACUCAAAAUACAUGCAUUUUUAUUACUCCUAGGAAGGUAGUACUGCUCACGUCAGCUAUUUAAGUUGUUAGGUAAUUGUUUCUUCAAAAUGUUUGAGUAGCCAGAAUGUAUCCGGUUUUACAGUGUAGGGAAUAGGUUGCCAUUUGGGAAAGGAAUUAAUGCCCUUUUUGGGUGAGAUUCAAUGGUUUCAACCCAAUAAAUGUAUCAUUGUCAUAACAGCCAGAUAAUCUUAGUUAUUACUUGUCUACCUUUUGUGAAUGUUUGUGACAAGACUACAAGAGCAUGAUUUGUUGCACUCUUCAGAUUAGAUUUAUAGAGAUGAUCAUUUAAUUUCAACUGUUUCAUAGACUACAAUUGUCGAUUUUACUCUCAAUAAUGAAUAUGUAGUUUAAAAGGACCUACUAUAGAUUGUAUGGCAGAAGGCUACAGGCUACUAGGCUACAUUUAUAGACCAUCCCCGACCAAAUGUAUUUUCUUAAACAUUUUUCUGUCACAUUUGUUCAAUAUAAUCCUACAUUAAAGAACGGAAUUUUGUC